AUAGAUGAUUAACAUUUUUGUCAUAUAUAUAUUUUGAUCUCUACUUUUUUUUCAUACACAUUGUACAUUUUUUGUAUAUAUUAGCAUCAUUUUUCUAUACAUAUGCAGAAUUAACAUUUUCAAUUCUGUAUGUAAAGUGAUUUUAUAGUAGAUAUAUUUAGAAUAUUUCGGAAUAUAAGCAAAAGUAGAAAAAAUAAAGCAAAAAUGCAAAAAAUGUGAAAACAAAACGCGUAAUGCCCUACCAUUCUUCCCGCUGGGCCGGCUCAUUUCGGGAGCUGCUUGACGCGAGGACAUAAGCACCCCUCAAAAACAAAAAAAACCGAGACAUAAGCAAUUUCGUAUAGUCGCGCCCCUCUCUUUGCUGCCUCUACCGCCACGCCAUCGCUCCAGGCUGCCGGCGAGUCGCCACUCCACCGCGCUCACCGGAGGUGCCUCCAGCCUCCUCCUCGCAUGCCGCAACACUCGCGCCGCAUCCUCGCUUACACGCUCGCCCCGUCCCAUGCUCGCCCCUCCGACGCAAUGUGCCGGCCUCUCGUGUGCUCAGCGCCGGCGCGCUCAGGGCGUUUGGCGAAAUGCCGACCCAGAUGCCGGUUCUUGGACUGCGGGUGGACUCGUGGAGCAGGCGCGCUCUGAAGCGUGGGCGUAUGUGCCGCGUGCAGGGCGGCGAGGCGGGUGGUUUCUUGGCCGCGGGCAAUCCUUGGACAUGGAGAAGGAGAAGAUGUGUUUAAAGGGCAGUCUGGUGGACGGAGCUCCCGCUUGCGCAGCGUUCGGGGAAGGGCCCGACAACUUUGGGCCUAUUGUACACAGCCUUUUCCUACAUUUCUGUAAGAGACUGUUUCGGAACAACCCGUGACCUCAUGGUCACAACUCACAAGGCAACAGCUUUACCACUGCGCCAAGGCUCCCCUUCAGAAGAUGUGUUUUUGAAAGGAAAAUAAAAACAGUUGGGUAACGACUUGCAGAAUAUUCUGAAAGGUGCUUGCGAUGGAGAGCAAGCAUCGGUGUCUCAGUCCGUAUGUGGACAAACCCAGGCAAGAAGAAGUGCAAUAUUGUUGCUUGAUGGACAAGGUGGAUGGUUGACUUACUGUUGCUGGGUGAUCUGUCCUCUCUUCCAUCCUCUUGAUUUACUAACCCUCAUCACGCGAGCUUCAUCUGAUGCUUACCUUUGCCUUUUGAUUCUCCUGCUCCACUGGCGCACUAUUAUAUUGUGAACCAUGGACUGUGACGCUUUGUGGCUAUCAACUGAAUUUGGAAGGGGUUCAAACUUUAAAGUAAUCUGGGUAACGUGUGAGGGCUGGCUGGCAGGCUAGUUGAUCACUUGGCUCUGAUGAUGCUCGUGUGGUCAUGGUCUUUUGAGACAGAACCAUGUAUUAAUCUCUACUGCUUUAUUAUCUUAAAAAUUAUCUGAGUUGGUAGCGGUCCGUUCACCCUCAUCGAGAUUAUCUAUUGAGUUAUUAACAUUACCAGAUGCCAACUGCUAUGUGGACAUAAUAUUGAUUCAACUGUUGUAUACAUUGAGAUAAUUAUUAAAUUUUGCAUAAAGUUAUGGAUUAUGAUAA